rnacentral:rRNA from 1 species
GAUGAACGCUGGCGGCGUGCCUAAUACAUGCAAGUCGAGCGAACAGACGAGGAGCUUGCUCCUCUGAAGUUAGCGGCGGACGGGUGAGUAACACGUGGAUAACCUACCUAUAAGACUGGGAUAACUUCGGGAAACCGGAGCUAAUACCGGAUAAUAUAUUGAACCGCAUGGUUCAAUAGUGAAAGACGGUUUUGCUGUCACUUAUAGAUGGAUCCGCGCCGCAUUAGCUAGUUGGUAAGGUAACGGCUUACCAAGGCAACGAUGCGUAGCCGACCUGAGAGGGUGAUCGGCCACACUGGAACUGAGACACGGUCCAGACUCCUACGGGAGGCAGCAGUAGGGAAUCUUCCGCAAUGGGCGAAAGCCUGACGGAGCAACGCCGCGUGAGUGAUGAAGGUCUUCGGAUCGUAAAACUCUGUUAUUAGGGAAGAACAAAUGUGUAAGUAACUAUGCACGUCUUGACGGUACCUAAUCAGAAAGCCACGGCUAACUACGUG